AUGGAGGCUGCUUCGCCACAGGGGAUCCAACUUCUCGCUUCGCCACCCCAGUCUCCACCUGCCCCAAUCUUCAGGCCGUCGUCCCCAACCCACCAGGAGAUCGGGGUCGACUUCGUCGCCGGCGACGGCGCCCUCGCGUUCGGCUCCGGCAUCAGGGGCCUGAAGAUGUCUAGCCACUCGACGCCGAGGGCGCGCUCGUCGGCGCCAUGCAACGCUACGAGUUCCACGCCCACGCGAGGGGCACCGCGGUCGCGCUGGCGCGGGCCAACCGACGGGGCCGUCGAUUGGGGUCGCUCCGACGCCCCCACGGUGGAGGAGGUGGUCGGGCCCGACGGGUUCGACUUCGUCGCCGGCGAUGACGCCCUGGCGUUCGGCUCCGGGGUCACGGACCUAAACAUGGUAGGGUCGUUGGAGCUGGUGGUCUCCAAUGGCGCUGGCGAGGGCCUCGCAGAGCUCGAGUUGCUAUCGUUGUGUCACAUUUGA
rnacentral:rRNA from 1 species